rnacentral:piRNA from 1 species
UGCAAACCAGUAAUGAUGUACGCAAUGCAAC